GACGAACGCUGGCGGCGUGCUUAACACAUGCAAGUCGAACGGAAAGGCCCUGCUUUUGUGGGGUGCUCGAGUGGCGAACGGGUGAGUAACACGUGAGUAACCUGCCCUUGACUUUGGGAUAACUUCAGGAAACUGGGGCUAAUACCGGAUAGGAGCUCCUGCUGCAUGGUGGGGGUUGGAAAGUUUCGGCGGUUGGGGAUGGACUCGCGGCUUAUCAGCUUGUUGGUGGGUUAGUGGCUUACCAAGGCUUUGACGGGUAGCCGGCCUGAGAGGGUGACCGGCCACAUUGGGACUGAGAUACGGCCCAGACUCCUACGGGAGGCAGCAGUGGGGAAUAUGGCACAAUGGGCGGAAGCCUGAUGCAGCAACGCCGCGUGCGGGAUAACGGCCUUCGGGUUGUAAACCGCUUUCGCCUGUGACGAAGCGUGAGUGACGGUAAUGGGUAAAGAAGCACCGGCUAACUACGUG
rnacentral:rRNA from 1 species